rnacentral:misc_RNA from 1 species
GAUGAAGAACGUAUCGAAAUGCGAUACUUGGUGUGAAUUGCAGAAUCCCGUGAACCAUCGAGUCUUUGAACGCAAGUUGCGCCCGAAGCCAUUAGGCCGAGGGCACGCCUGCCUGGGCGUCACACGUCGUUGCCCCCCCAUCUACUCCUUCGGGAUUGCGGGGGCGGAUGAUGGCCUCCCGUGCGCCUCGCCGCGCGGUUGGCAUAAAUGCCAAGUCCUCGGCGACGCACGCCACGACAAUCGGUGGUUGCGAAACCUCGGUUGCCCGUCGUGUGCGGUCGUCGCGCAUCGAGGGCUCGAAAAAAUUGCCGGGUUCCGGCUCGGCUUUCAACGCGACCCCAGGUCAGGCGGGGUUACCCGCUGAAUUUAAGCAUAUCAAUAAGCGGAGGA